rnacentral:rRNA from 1 species
UACGAAGGUGGCAAGCGUUACUCGGAAUUACUAGGCGUAAAGGGCAGGUAGGUGGCCUGAUAAGUCUGUUGUGAAAGCUCCCGGCUUAACUGGGAGAGGUCAACAGAUACUAUCGGGCUGGAGUGUGGGAGAGGGUACUGGAAUUCCCGGUGUAGCGGUGAAAUGCGCAGAGAUCGGGAGGAACACCAAUGGCGAAAGCAGGUACCUGGACCAUUACUGACACUCAGCUGCGAAAGCUAGGGGAGCAAAC